CUUUUUUUUCUUUCUCUGGCCGCACUGGAUCCCUUAUCCUCUCACGCGCAGUCGUGACCUCGUGACUCCUCCCGUUCCCCUAAGCGACUGCGCGACGGGUGUCGCCGCCGUGCCAAAGUUCUGCCGCCGCCGUGCCGAAGUUCUGCCGCCGAGGCACAAUGAGAGCAGAAUUGCGGAUAGGGAAUUUGAUGCCUGUGAUGCGGAUGAAAAUUAUAACCCAAUGCCUAGUUCUUCAGCAUCAGGAUGGCCAGAAGAUGAACCUCUUGUUGAAGAUGUCAACAUGAAUGCCUUCCGUGAUGAGUUGGCUCAUGCUUUGUUUCAUGGAGUGUAUUUUUUUUUUGUUUAGCUUGAUUGAGGACUUGUAAGUUUGAGUGAGACAUCUCAUUUGUAUGGACGAAUUAAAAGUUAUCGUGUUUUGAAUGCUUGAUUUGUAAAGAUUAUUUGUUUGUGUCA